ACGACAAUUGAGAGCUUAGCGUGGGGCGUUUUGUCUCCAAUCGGCUCGCUAGCAUUGCCGUCUCUGAAUCUCCUCCUUUGAUGUUCUGAACCGAGACUGAGUCGUCGCGAACGUCUAAGGCGACAGAAGGUCCUGGUAACGGACCGCUGAAGGCAACUCGUUUGGAGCUCCCUGUGCUCUCUGUGUCUGACCAUGAAUCUGCAGAGGACGAGCAGCGGUACCAGGGUGAUAAGCUUGAGGAUUAGGCGUCUCAGGGGCGAAGGAGUCUGAGGUGUCGGGGGACUUGCUUGUGUGCUUCUAACGAGGAUACCUCAGCGAGAUCCUGAGCAUUGUUUGGGAAA